UACGGAGGGUGCAAGCGUUAUCCGGAUUCACUGGGUUUAAAGGGUGCGUAGGUGGGUCUGUAAGUCAGUGGUGAAAUCUCCGGGCUUAACCCGGAAACUGCCAUUGAUACUAUAGGUCUUGAAUCUUCUGGAGGUCAGCGGAAUAUGUCAUGUAGCGGUGAAAUGCUUAGAUAUGACAUAGAACACCAAUUGCGAAGGCA
rnacentral:rRNA from 1 species